CAUUACCGAGUUUACAACUCCCAAACCCCAUGUGAACAUACCUGUUUCGUUCCCUCGGCGGUGUCCGGCAACGGCCCGCCAGAGGACCCAACAAACUCUUUUGAAUUUUUCAGUAUCUUCUGAGUGAAAAAAAACAAUAAAUCAAAACUUUCAACAACGGAUCUCUUGGUUCUGGCAUCGAUGAAGAACGCAGCGAAAUGCGAUAAGUAAUGUGAAUUGCAGAAUUCAGUGAAUCAUCGAAUCUUUGAACGCACAUUGCGCCCGCCAGUAUUCUGGCGGGCAUGCCUGUUCGAGCGUCAUUUCAACCCUCAAGCACCUUCGGGAGCUUGGUGUUGGGGAUCGGCAGGGCGUCCUCCGGGUCGCGCCGUCCCCCAAAUCUAGUGGCGGUCUCGCUGUAGCUUCCUCUGCGUAGUAAUACACCUCGCUCUGGAGUCUCGGUGCGGCCACGCCGUUAAACCCCCAACUUUUUUCUGGUUGACCUCGAAUCAGGUAGGACUACCCGCUGAACUUAAGCAUAUCAAUAAGCGGAGGAAAAGAAACCAACAGGGAUUGCCCUAGUAACGGCGAGUGAAGCGGCAACAGCUCAAAUUUGAAAUCUGGCCUUCGGGUCCGAGUUGUAAUUUGUAGAGGAUGCUUUUGGUGAGGUACCUUCCGAGUUCCCUGGAACGGGACGCCAUAGAGGGUGAGAGCCCCGUCUGGUUGGAUACCAAUCCUCUGUAAAGCUCCUUCGACGAGUCGAGUAGUUUGGGAAUGCUGCUCUAAAUGGGAGGUAUAUGUCUUCUAAAGCUAAAUACCGGCCAGAGACCGAUAGCGCACAAGUAGAGUGAUCGAAAGAUGAAAAGCACUUUGAAAAGAGAGUUAAAAAGUACGUGAAAUUGUUGAAAGGG
rnacentral:rRNA from 1 species